UAUAGGCAGAAGUUCAGGACAAGUUAUUGUUUGAAGAGGAAUCACAGCAGCAAAGAGUUACAUUUAAAUAGAUGGUCUUAGUACAGCACUGAAUCAUGAGACAAUAAUUCAUAUUUGAUUGUUAUUGCAAAGAGUGGAUGUAUCUGACUAGCAUUUGUAUGACAUUUAUCAUAUGAAGACUUACAAGGCAAAGAAUCAGAUGUUACAAACAAAUGUGUGUGCAUUUAAAG
rnacentral:lncRNA from 1 species